ACAAUUGUAGAUCUCCCAAAUCAAAGCCAAUUCUAAAAAUCUCUUCCUCUCUUUUGAAGGCAACUUGUCCAAGCGUCUCAGCCACUGCUCCCGUUUUCAUCGCCGGCAUCCUAGCAUCUUAGAUGGCGUUCUCGUCUCCAUAUUCCUUCCUCACCUACCACUGGGUUCACAAAGAUCCCGUCCUUUGGGGAUAUGGGUUUCAACAGUGGUGAUGCAUGUUUGUUGUCAAUCGUGUGAAGCAGACGAGUCGAGGUCAAAACGAAGUAGAUGAGUCGAGGUCGAAGCGAAACAGAUGAAUUAAGGUGAUGAGGUUGAAGUGAAGCAGACGAAUCCCAGGUCGAAGUAAAGCACGGUCUUAGCUAGUCCAGUGCUUUUCGGGGCUCUCGCUAAGACCUUCUAACGAAGGUUUUAGUCAGGGGCGAGUCCUUUUUAGUCCCACUAAACUUAGUUUUGCGGCACAACAAACACGAGACUACUUUAAUAAGUUGUCCAAUCCAAUUUAGUCCAAGUUAGCGAGGGUAAACAAACACGCCCUCAGUGUUUAACUAUUGGUUUCUCC
rnacentral:lncRNA from 1 species